rnacentral:tRNA from 2 species
GUGACUAUGGCAGACUUGGCAAUGCAGCGGAUUGUGGUUCCGCCUUAUAUGGGUUCAAAUCCCAUUAGUCACCU